GACGGACGCUGGCGGCGUGCUUAACACAUGCAAGUCGAACGGGCCUUGUCCCCUUUUUUUUGGGGGUGGGGUUAGUGGCGAACGGGUGAGUAACACGUGAGUAACCUGCCCCUCACUUCUGGAUAACCGCUUGAAAGGGUGGCUAAUACGGGGUGUUCUGGCCUGCUCGCAUGGGUGGGUUUGGAAAGAUUCGACCGGUUUUGGUUGUUUUGGUGGGGGAUGGGCUCGCGGCCUAUCAGCUUGUUGGUGGGGUGAUGGCCUGCCAAGGCUUUGACGGGUAGCCGGCCUGAGAGGGUGGGCGGUCACACUGGGACUGAGACACGGCCCAGACUCCUACGGGAGGCAGCAGUGGGGAAUAUUGCACAAUGGGCGCAAGCCUGAUGCAGCGACGCCGCGUGAGGGAUGGAGGCCGUCGGGUUGUGAACCUCUUUCGCCAGUGAAGAAGGUCCUGCUCUUUGUGGUGGGGUUGACGGUAGCUGGGUUAAUGAAGCGCCGGCUAACUACGUG
rnacentral:rRNA from 1 species